rnacentral:rRNA from 1 species
CUCAGUUCGGAUUGGAGUCUGCAACCCGACUCCAUGAAGCUGGAUUCGCUAGUAAUCGCGCAUCAGCCACGGCGCGGUGAAUACGUUCCCGGGCCUUGUACACACCGCCCGUCAAGCCAUGGGAGCCGGGGGUACCUGAAGUGCGUGACCGCAAGGAGCGCCCUAAGGUAAAACCGGUGACUGGGGCUAAGUCGUAACAAGGUACC